UGAGGAAUAUUGGUCAAUGGUCGCUAGACUGAACCAGCCAAGUAGCGUGCGGGAUGAAGGCCCUCCGGGUACGUAAUCGCGUUUAGAAGCGGGGAUAAAAGGGCGUACGUGUACGCCGUAUUGCAUGUACCGUCAGAAAAAGGACCGGCUAAUUCCGUGCCAGCAGCCGCGGUAAUACGGAAGGUCCGGGCGUUAUCCGGAUUUAUUGGGUUUAAAGGGAGCGUAGGCGGACUUUCAAGUCAGUGGUAAAAUCGUGUGGCUCAACCAUACCUCGCCAUUGAAAACUGGAAGUCUGGAGUGCACACAGGGGUGCCGGAAUUCAUGGUGUAGCGGUGAAAUGCUUAGAUAUCAUGAAGAACUCCGAUCGCGAAGGCAAGUGCCCGGGGUGCAACUGACGCUGAGGCUCGAAAGGUGCGGGUAUCGAACAGGAUUAGAACC
rnacentral:rRNA from 1 species